ensembl:lncRNA
AUUGGAUACUAUAUUUUUAUAAUACAGUAGCAGCAAAAAAUGCAACAGAGUCAAUGCAGAAAUGUGCAAAUAUUUCAAUGGGAGUUGGAUGGUGUUCAGUUCAUGGUGUGUGUGUGUGUGCAUACAUCAGUCCAGUCUCUGAGUAUUGAGGAGUCUGAUAGCUUGGGGGAAGAAGCUGAUACACAGUCUGGUUGUGAGGGCCCAAAUGCUUCGGUACCUUUUUCCAGACGGCAGGAGGGUGAAGAGUGUGUGUGAGGGGUGUGUGGGGUCAUCCACAAUGCUGGUGACUUUGCGGAUGCAGCAUGUGGUGUAAAUGUCUGUGAUGGGGAGAGAGAGACCCCGAUGAUCUUCUCAGCUGUCUUCACUAUCCGCUGCAGGGUCUUGCGAAACCAGUGAGGUGCAAUUUCAGAACCAGACAGUGAUGCAGCUGCUCAAGAUGCUCUCAAUAGUUCCUGUGUAGAAUGUGGUGAUCCUCACUGCCACGUCAUUCUGUGUCUCAAACCGAGCACAGAAGUUGUUCUGGAAGGGAGGCAUUACUGUCACAGGCGGGUGAUGUUGUCCUGUCGUUGCUGAACUGGAACUUUAGAACUUAGAAAAUUAGAACUGGAGUAAGAAGAAGCGGCGUCUGAUUGGAUGAUGACCUGUCGUCACUUCCGCCUGAUUUCAACGUUGUAUGCGUGAUGCAGCAAGUGUAGCGAAACAGAAACGUCGAGAAAACGCCCAAGCGAACAUCUCUCUCCUUCGUCAGCGGUUUAGUUUUUGAUUCCGCAAAACUAAAUUAUCUUUUGUUUAAGUUAUUUACUUAUUAUAAAUAACGUACUUGUUUUAGUACGCGCGUCGGUAUGUGUAUUGACGACAUGGGAACAGAAGGGAGAAAGCAGCGCGAAAGCCGCUCCAACGGGUUUAGAAGGAAGACGGGUGUUGUGGAAGCCGCUGUACGGAGGUCGUCGAGGAAGCCUGGACGUCGUUCUCACAGCUUGGCGUCGGUGAAGGAGAAGCAGAAACAUUCAGACGCGCUCCCGUCGGGAGCGAUGGCGCCGAGAAACACCACGCAGUACCUCAUGGAGCAAGUCUACAGCGACCUGAACAUUACCGCGCUGUCCCCUAAACUGAGUAACUGUUUACCUUCUCAACACGAACAAACGUAUUCCUACAACUCUCGGUAUACUAACGAGGACACUGUGGACUUUCAGCACCGGGACUUCGAGAGCGUGUUCUUUCAGAAUGAGAUCUGAAUCGACGCCAUUUUGACGGCCGCCAUCUUGGGCCGGGGAAAAAAACCAAGAAGUCCGGAAACUUGCCGGCUGAACCUGAUUAAAAUUAAACGACACGCAUGCGCAGCAGGAGGCUCGUGGCUCUGCGGCACCAGAGUGUAAGCCCCGCCCACGCCUGCUCAGACACAUGUGCACACAGGUAAACCUGCUCCACAAAGGUGUGUGUGUAUGCUCUAUAUUGUGUUUGUGUUCUGCUGUGCAUCUGUGUUCGAGAGACUUUUGCAGGUCUGCUGCUCCAUCGCUGAUGGCUUUCAGCUGAACUUUCUGAGCAGUGGCGGUCAGAAGGACACGAGGCCGAAAGGCUCCCAGUCUUCAGGCCUGGGUAACUCUUAUUCUGAUCACUCUUAUUGUACUCUGAUGCACUGAUGGACAGGACGUGACCGGCUGAUGGACACGUAAAGUGACCAACUGCAGUUUACGUGAUGUGUGGGGCCGGUAAAUGAUAAUACCGUAAUAAAUUAAGGUUAGAGUUUAUUUUCUGACACAGAGAAUGUAGCUUGUACUUUGUUAAUACGCAACACUACACUGUUUACGUUUACUUUCAAAUAAAAUAAUUCAAUAAGUCUCUAUGUUCUGAAUUCAACAGUCUGACUGUAUUGUAAACAUCUCUGUUAAGGGAGCAGCAAAAGGAAAAAGUUCGUGACUUAACACUUUUUUGGAAACAAUAAGUUAUCACUGCAUGUAUUAUCGGAAGUAUUGAUUAUUCCUCAUUAUCCACGAUGGAGUGGGAGAUGGUGACUGAUUCCGAUAACGAGGAAACCAAUUACCUGUGGCCUUUUUUGUUGAAGUUAAGGCAGUGUUUUCCCAACAGGGGUACUCUGUCUAAAAAUCCUUCUCACAUUUCUAAAAUGUGAGUAAAAUAUUGUAGGUGAAAUAAGAUACUCACAUGCAACAAUAAUAAGUGUGUAUAUGUAAUUAUUAAAAAUAAAUCAUAAAACCCAGUAAAUCUUGAGAUUGUCAUUGGUCACAUUACAACAAACGAUAGGAUAGCUAUAUAUAUGACCUUUUUUUAUUAAGAUUAUUAAACAUGGACCUUUUGCCUUCAUUAAAUAGACUUAUUAUUUAUUGUAGGCUCAUUUUGUAAACAUUUUUCAUUACUGUAUACAUAAGCAAAAAGUGGGAGCUUCCUGCAAAUGUCAUUUCUCACAUUUACAAAAUCAGGUGAUCAUGUUCAUGCAUCACAUGUAUAGAGACAAAAGGAAGUUAUUACAGGAUGUUCGCUCUGUAUGGCCACCCGUCCAUGUAAACGUCUCUCUGUAUAAAGAGAAAAGUAAGCGGUUCAAUCACUGUGUUUUUGUGAAGAUAGUGAUGAAUGAAAACAUGGUGCACUCCCCAAAAACACUUUCAGCUUUGGCUUUAUUUUUUCAACAGAAUGUACAAAGCAAAUCCAAAUCGCUAUUUAAAAAAAAAAAAAAAAAACCUAUCCAUGAAUUUUGUGCCAUCUGGCUGUCUCUAUGGUCCCGCAUAGAUGGAUCAUGGAGAUACCUGUAGCCUACAAUCAUACCUUUCGGCAGGAUUCACCUUGAAGUCAUUCAAUUCCAACGUCACGCGGUAAGUUAGAAAAAAAGGGCGUGCGAACACGAAAACGCUGCCUUAAGGAAUCAAAUAAUAAAUCUCACACCUUGUUAUAUGUAAUCUUUGCAAAACAGAGAUUAAAAUUCUUCUAAUGUGAAAGACCCGUUUAGAAAAUGAGCGUGAUUGUUCUGUUAAAUUGUUUAAUCUGUUUAUGCAGAAUUAUACAGUUAUUCUUAAGCUGGUUCACAAUCAUGACGUACCAAAAAUGUUGCCCAAUUAAGUAAUUGGAGUAAUUAGGUUGGAGUUUUCCAACCUAAAUUAAAUGUUUAUUUGCUAUGUUAAUAAUUAAAAAUAUAUAUAUUGUGAAUAAUACACUCCACAUUGUAUAUUUGUAUGAGAUUUUUAUAGGCCAAUACUGUUUUGUUUUUAACUCGGAGACUACGACACGGCCGGACCAUAGGUGACAGUACAUGCACGUCAAACACCGCCAAUAAAUCCACAGAAGAAGAAGCGGCGUCUGAUUGGAUGAUGACCUGUCGUCACUUCCGCCUGAUUUCAACGUUGUAUGCGUGAUGCAGCAAGUGUAACGCAACAGAAACGUCGAGAGAACGCCCAAGCGAACAUCUCUCUCCUUCGUCAGGGGUUUAGUUUUUGAUUCCGCAAAACUAAACUAUCUUUUGUUUAAGUUAUUUCCUUAUUAUAAAUAACGUACUUGUUUUAGUACGCGCGUCGGUAUGUGUAUUGACGACAUGGGAACAGAAGGGAGAAAGCAGCGCGAGAGCCGCUCCAACGGGUUUAGAAGGAAGACGGGUGUUGUGGAAGCCGCUGUACGGAGGUCGUCGAGGAAGCCUGGACGUCGUUCUCACAGCUUGGCGUCGGUGAAGGAGAAGCAGAAACAUUCAGACGCGCUCCCGUCGGGAGCGAUGGCGCCGAGAAACACCACGCAGUACCUCAUGGAGCAAGUCUACAGCGACCUGAACAUUACCGCGCUGUCCCCUAAACAGAGUAACUGUUUACCUCCUCAACACGAACAAACGUAUUCCUACAACUCUCGGUAUACUAACGAGGACACUCUGGACUUUCAGCACCGGGACUUCGAGAGCGUGUUCUUUCAGAAUGAGAUCUGAAUCGACGCCAUUUUGACGGCCGCCAUCUUGGGCCGGGGAAAAAAACCAAGAAGUCCGGAAACUUGCCGGCUGAACCUGAUUAAAAUUAAACGACACGCAUGCGCAGCAGGAGGCUCGUGGCUCUGCGUCAUGUGCCGCUGUCCCGAGAGUGUAAGCCCCGCCCACGCCUGCUCAGACACAUGAGCACACAGGUAAACCUGCUCCACAAAGGUGUGUGUGUAUGCUCUAUAUUGUGUUUGUGUUCUGCUGUGCAUCUGUGUUCGAGAGACUUUUGCAGGUCUCCUGCUCCAUCGCUGAUGGCUUUCAGCUGAACUUUCUGAGCAGCGGCGGUCAGAAGGACACGAGGCCGAAAGGCUCCCAGUCUUCAGGCCUGGGUAACUCUUAUUCUGAUCACUCUUAUUGUACUCUGAUGCACUGUGAGUUCACUGUGGAGAUGUUUGAAAGGUAACCAGGCUUGUGCACUUUGUAUAUAAAUUUGUGUUUAAAGAAAAUGUAUUAAAGUUAUUUUGCUUACACUUUUGGCAUGUUUUCUGACUUUGCAUAAGGUCCAGGAGAAAUGCUAUUAUUCAGGGUAUUUCUAUUAAUUAUUAAUGUAGGGGGAAAUAAUUUUUUUUAACCGUAGAGAAAAUUACUUUACAAACUGUGACCCAUUGAUACCAUUUCACAAACCAUACGCAAUUGCAACAGUACAUCUGGAAUAAGAAAACAAUACCAAAAAAAACCCCAGGUAAGUUAUUGGUGUAAAACGGUACGCAAGGUGCCCACUAUAGGUUUUUCCUAAACAAAAAAAAGUUGUGAAGCAAAGAUCAAAGCUUUGGGAACACGGAAAUAUCUUCAGUGGUUCAAAGUACAAUUCUUUUUAUGGCCUUUUCCUUUGUAAAAGCUAGGAUGUUCUGACAUCUUGAACACCUACAAGGGUUCUGCCCGACUCAACACCUUGACCCCCCCCAAACGUUGCAUAAUCAUUAAUGUUGGGUGUCUGUUAGUGAUGAGAAGAUCAGAUCAUUUUACUUGGGUCUUUGAAUUUGAAUCUCGUGCUGCCAAAUGAACCGAGCUUCGUCAUUUUGUUCAUAUGAGCAGAAUUGUGUUGAAAUGUAAAUGUUAGCUUUAGUAGCCGAUUUCCCCCGAACACGCUUACAUGGGUAUUUAUGGCGUUUGGCAGACGCAUUUAUCCAGAGUGACUUCGAAUUAUGUCUCUUUAUUUAAAAAAAAAAAUGUAUACACAACUGAGCAUUUGAGGGUCAAGGGCCCGGCAGUUGCAUCUUGGGUUUAAACUCGCGACCUUCCUAUCACCGUCUUGACCACUGAGCUAGCACUUCCACACAUAAGGACAAAUUGAGUGAGUAUUAAUUCAACGUUCAACUGGGUCUUCUGGUCCGAGUCGUGCAGUCUUUAGUCACGUUAGUCGGGUAGGCUAUGUACAGGAAACAGAAAUGAUUAGGUGUAGGAGAGGCUUGGGAAGUGAAUUUUAAUCAUUGUUUCCUGUGCAGAGAGAGAGCAGCACAUUCAGAGUGUGAGAAAAUAAGAGACAUGGUCACUUCUAACAUCCUUUGAAUGAUUGUUUUGCAUGUAAAUAUAGCAGACAUCCGGUGUUUGUGCGUAGCUAAUUACAAGUAGCUACAUUACUAACUUAACUACACUUUCAGUAGUGUGACAGCUUUGUUACUUUAAAAAAUAGUCUAGCUUUCCAAGUAACGAGGUACUUUUUCCAAACGAGUAGGGAUUGUAGGAACCAAGCUAAAUGAGAAUAUGUAGGCUAUAAAUCUAAAUUGAACCUCCAUAUUUUUUUUUACUUUUUUCAUUUACAUUAUUAAACAUGGAUCUUUUGCUUUCCUUAAAUAGGCUUAUUAUUUAUUGUAGGCUCAUUUUGUAAACAUUUUUCAUUACUGUAUACAUAAGCAAAAAGUGGGAGCUUCCUGCAAAUGUCAUUUCUCACAUUUACAAAAUCAGGUGAUCAUGUUCAUGCAUCACAUGUAUAGAGACAAAAGGAAGUUAUUACAGGAUGUUCGCUCUGUAUGGCCACCCGUCCAUGUAAACGUCUCUCUGUAUAAAGAGAAAAGUAAGCGGUUCAAUCACUGUGUUUUUGUGAAGAUAGUGAUGAAUGAAAACAUGGUGCACUCCCCAAAAACACUUUCAGCUUUGGCUUUAUUUUUUCAACAGAAUGUACAAAGCAAAUCCAAAUCACUAUUUAAAAAAAAAAAAAACCUAUCCAUGAAUUUUGUGCCAUCUGGCUGUCUCUAUGGUCCCGCAUGGAUGGAUCAUAGAGAUACCUGUAGCCUACAAUCAUACCUUUCGGCAGGAUUCACCUUGAAGUCAUUCAAUUCCAACGCCACGCGCUUGACCUCUUCAGACUAUGAGUAGCUUGAAAAGCUAGUUUCAAAAUGGCUUCCCAAACACUGUGGCCAUCCCAGCACGGCCGGUGUCUUUAAUGUGUCUGGGGUCAGACGUCGUCAUCCACAGGCCACAAGGACUCCCAGAAUGGUCCGAUGUUAAUAUGCUAUGGCCUUCACGCUUAUCAAAUCUCAACCCAGUCGAACACGGGUUGUAGCAACUUGUUGGCGUUCUUCACUGCUGUUAUUAAAGCACCAACUGAUGGAAUAUCAUUUGGAGGAACAAUGAUAAUCACUACAAUAUGGUUCCAAAGAUGGAUAGAAUCUAUAAAAAGGAGCUUUGAAGCUACGCUGGAGGCUCGUCAUGGUUUACACACUUUACUAACACCACACUGAGUUUCACACACAUCCCCCCCCCCCCCCCCCCCCCACUUCCAAGUUUGCCAUACCAAUUUUGCUUCUCCAGCUAUAUUGUUAUCUAUCU